UUACAAGGUACAAGGUAUUGAUUUUUUUUUAAUGUUUGUUUUGUUAUAGUUUAUUCAUUUGGUGAUAAACAUAGAUAUGCCUCACUUAUGUUUUGUGUAGUGAUUACACAGUUGUAUAUAAAAUAUGUAUAUACUAGUCUGUAUAAUAUUUACUGGAUAAUAGUUUAAGCAGAUUUGGAUAAUUAAUACAAAUAUAUAUUUUUAGUUUUUUGGAGUAUUUAUGUGUUCCUCUGAUUUUCAGCAACACUUGAAGAUAGAGGAGAGUAUAACAUGUUCAGAUUUUUUGUAUUUUUAAGUUUCACUCACUGGGACAGCCAGAAUAGGGGAAACGUAGGUGAGUGGCAGGGCAUGACAGCUGUAGAAGGAAAUGAUGCCUACAAAGAAAAUAACAUUUAAAAGAUGAGUUAUUAAAGUGCAGACUUCUAUAAAUGUGGGUAAAUUAAGCAAUUGACAACAUGUUUUGUGCUAAACCAUAUUUAUUUCCAAUUAUAUGACUAAAUAUGUAUUGCAAUUAAAUUGAUCAUUUUGAAAUAAAGUACAUAUCCCACGAAAUCUAAAAGGGAAGAAAUCACAUAAUUACAUAAGUAACUGUUAAUAAAUAAAACAAUAUUUCUCCUGUGACAUGGAGAAGCAUGGAACUCCAUAGACUUUAAAUUUCUUACUUUGUUUAAUGUAAAAAAAGAUGACAGAUACUGGUGGGGCCUGACUGGUCACAUGAAAGAACAGUUUCUACAGUUUUCUGACUUUUAGGCUCACAAAAGCAGAUAAUAUACUCACCCUACCCCGAGAAGCUACAAUCAAUCAUGCAAGAGGUUCUGGUCCAGAGGCUGAGCUUGAAACUUGUAUUUUGGUCCCUUGGAGGGAGAUCUAAAGUCUCUGUGGAUGAGGCCUUCUCAGGCAGUGAGUGGGAUGGACAGCAGCACCCUGCUAUCCUGUCCAACUCGAAUAAACUGGUUCCUUGGCACGAUGUGGUGCUGUUCCCCCCUCUUUGGCCUGGUGGGGUCAGCCUGAUGCAACCUGGAGCUUUACUAUUGGCGGAGACCCACAUACCUUUAAAAUAGCUGUUGAGUCUGUCAUAUCUUACAGGUAAUCAUUGUAGAUGGUAGCUCCCUCAGUGUCUUUGACGCCAUAUGUGAGAAAUGUUGGGCUACAGCGAUCCGUGAUGGAGGUGCAUUUACAGCCACCCGGGCACACAAGACUCCUGAGGCCUGGAACAGGGCGCCUUUAACAAUGCUACUUUCAGAUGGUAGCUCUCUCAGUGUCUUUGACGCUAUAUAUGAGAAAUGUUGGGCUAAAGCGAUCAUGAUGGAGGUGCGUUUACAGCCACCCAGGACGCACAAGACUCCUGAGGCCUGGAACAGGGCACCUUUAACAGUGCUACUUCCAACUCAACUAGGCCACUGACUGAUGCGACCCGCAAGACUGAGCCACAUCUCCGUUUAUGGUGGACUGCUUUGAGCAUCUGCCAGUCCUUCCCUACAUAUAAUCUAUGGCUGUUCCAAAACGACCCUCGACAACCCAUUCAAUGGCAUUGAUUGACAUACAAGUAAUGGAAAAUGCUUACUGAGUCCUCGAACAUCAUUCUUAACUUUGGCUGGCUGGAAUGGCUUUAGUGGCGGACUGGCUGCCUAAUUCCUGUAUUGGUUAUCGGUUGAAGGCUUACCUCUGAACUUUGGCACUGUGUCCUGCCCUUAGUGGGGGUUGGCUGAUCUCUGUCCUGGUUCUGGGAGAGCCUCUUUAGCAUAUAUGCCGCUACUACAGAGGUCUAUCUUAUUCCUCUAACAGUUUUUGUGUUUCUGUGGGCCCAGGGGUCUUUAUACGAUGUUGCAUGCUCUAUUUUUUUAUUUUUAAAUGUUGAUUUUUUUACCAUGCCACACUGUUUUGCAUGUACUAUUCUUCCCUUAAAAUGUGCAGUUUCAAUGAUGUGUUUAAUGUGAUGGCACUUAUAAGACAAUGCUAUGUUUUCCCAGUAAUGUGUAUAUUAUGUGCAACUGCUUUUCUUUUCUGUAACAACUAAAAAUAACUUGUUCCCGGGUCUGUAACGUUGAAAAGUGCUAUGACUCACCUGAAAUUAUUAAUAUGUCUGACAAAUGUAAGUUUUGCUUUUUAUAACUCAAACAUAUGUUUCUACCUGGAUUUUCCCAUGUUUGCUUUAAAAUUGUCGCUACCAAGCACGAAAAAUAAAGAAUUAAAAAUAAAUAAAUAAAUAAUUUGUUGUGGUGUGUAUUUUAGAAGCAAAGUAACAUUUGCUAAUUCCAUAAGGCUCCCCACCUGGGAGAACAAAAUCCGGGAGAAAUUAAACAAGAUGGUCCAGGAUGGUAAAAACAUUAAAGUACAAUAAAACAGUAAAAAAUAAAAAGUUAAAAGUAACACGAUACGUUUUGCCACAGGACAAGGCUUUUCAACUUUGUUCUCCCUGGUGGGAAGCGUACCACCAAAGCCUUAUGGAAUGAGCAAAACUUUACUUUGCUCCUAAAAUAGACACCACAUCAUCUACAUAUCCUUAGAGUGGGGAUUAUACCACUCCACUCUGUUUUAAGGAGCCACCUACUAGGCUUAUAUAAAUGUGAGUGUAUUUCUAAUUUGAUUCAGUUUUCUAAUAUCAACAGCACUAAAUUACUACACUAUAUAGUGUCCAUCUCUGUGUUCCCUUCUAUAUUCCUGGACCAUAUCCUGAGAUGAAGCGAAGCACCAGAAUAUUGUUAGGGAUCACACCGCCCAAGCGCUAUCCAGAGGAGCUCUUUAGCUCCAUCUACUGAUUUACUAAGGCGCUACUUCCAAUUCCUUCCUUUCACUACCUUGUUCUCGUUCCAGAUAAGAGAGAAUCCGGCUUGGGUUGAUUGCGCUGUCUUGUAGACUUACCAGAACCUUUCACGUGCUAAACCUUACAUUCUGGUGGUAUUCCUUAAAAAUUAUUUUCCCCUUUCUCAGUCUGGACACAAUUUAGAGCUUAUCCGUGCUCUUGUUGCUUUAUUAAUAUUAUUCCAGAUUAUUGUAAACCUCUCUUUCACUGCCUAAAAAGUGCUCAGGCUGCAUGUGUGGAUUUUUCAAUGUCUAGUAAAACGUAUGUGCUCUUGAGGAGCCACAAGUCCUACUUGAGCACUACUGUUGCCAUGUUCUUAAACUCUCAGAGACUGAUGUCACCUUACUUUUCCCUGCACACACUAUAGCCCAUAUUACCCCCUGCACCCAUUACACCUGCUUUCCCCCUUGCACCUACUACUGCUCUUAUAACCACUUCUAGCACCUUCCACUCACAACAGCCUCUUUCCCCCUGCACCCACUAAAGCCCCUAUGCCACCUGAACCCACUACAGCCCUUAGAACCCCAUGCACCCACUACAACCCCUAUUACACCCUGCACUCACUACAGCCCAUAUUAACCCAUAACGGACCUUUCCCCUGCACCCACUACAGCCUCUAUUACCCCUUGCAGCCACUACAGCUUCAUACCCUCCUCUGCACCCACUGCAGCCCCUAUACAUCUGCAGCUACUAGAGCCCCCUGCACCCACUACCACCUCUAUCCCUCUGCACCUACUAUGGCCCUUUUUUCCUUCACCUACUACAGCCACUAGAACCUACUGCACUCACUACAGCUUGUCCCUAUCCCCUCUACAUCCACUAGAUCCCUUGCUACUCCCUGCACCCACUACAGCUCCUAACCCCCCUGCACCCACUGCAGCCUCUAUCCCCCACGUACCCAUUACAGCCCCUAUUACUCCCUGCACUCCCUACAGCCUUCAAACCACCUUUACCCGCUACAGCCAGACUUCCCUGCACCCACUACAGUAAUAUUAACCACUAUCCAUUCUGCACCCACUAUACCCACUAACCCCCAGCUCCGACAAAAAAUCCUAUCGCCCUUGAACCCACUAAUGACCCUGUUACCCACUGCACCUAAUACAGUCCCUAUGCCCACUGCACCCACUAUAGCCACUAUUCCUCCCCUGCCCCCACUACAGCCUCUAUUACCCCCUUCACCCACUACAAUCUCUAACUCUCCUCUGCACACACUACAGUCCCUAUCUCCUGAACACACUACAGCCUAUAUCCCCUUGCCACCACUACAGAAUCUAUUACCCCAUACACUCACUAAAACCCUUAUAACUCCCUAUAGCCUCUAUCUCUUCUGCACCCACUACAGACCAUGUCCCCCUGCACCUACUAAAGGUCCUAUUAUCCCCUGCACUCACUACAGCCCCGAUUACCAGUUGCACUAAUAACCGCCAGUUUUCUCCUUGCACCCACUACAUUCCCUAUUACCCCCUGCACCUUCUUCAUCCUCAAUGCCCCCUGACAUACUACAGCCUCUAUCUCUCCCCAUGCACCCUCUAGAGUCUCAGUUACCCCGUAUACCAAACUACAACCCCUGUUAUCCCCUUCACCCAUAAUAGCAUCUAUAACCCCCUGCACCCACUACAGCCUCUAUUAAUCCAUGCACCCACUACAUGCUCUGUGCACCCAUUAUAGUCCCUAAUAUCCCCUGAACCAAUUACAACCCUAUCCUUCCCCUAUCACCAUUGUAACCACUACUAAUAUGAUUGCUGUAUGCAGCUGUGUAAAUGCAUGCAAGGUUACAGAUAAUGUAAGAAGUGGUUAAGGUAAAGGGGGGUUUAGGGUUAGAGAGGGGUUAAUGUCAGACUUAGAUUACAUGGGGUGUUAAAAGUUAAGAUUAAAUGGUUACUCCAACCACCAUGGCCACUUCAGUGAUUUGAAGUUGUCAUGGUAAUAGAAGUAAAGUAUAUGCUUGAAACACUGCACAUACUGAGAUAUUCUUAAUUGUGUGCUGGGGGCUAGUUGAACCCCCAGCACACGAGUUAGGCAGCCCAGAACUCUGUUCCUAAUGUCAAUUCUGUGCAUAAAUGACGUCUGUUGAACAGCCGUAAAAGUCUUACCCUUGUCUUCCCCCUGCCUCUCUCCCUCCCUUUGGGAACUCUCUCCUGCUUCACUCUGUUGCUUAUUCAUUUAUUUUUUUUAAAUAAACUCUCCAUCCCACAUCCACACUCCCUCCCUCAGCCGCCCACUUUCCCCUCACAGGCCUUCUGUCUCUCUGAGACAACAAAUUAGUCCAAUCAAAGGCUUCUCUAUGAGCAAGGAGGUUCUGAAUAAAAUGUUGUUGUUUUUUAGCAUUUACAGCGCAUUGAGAGUGGGGACCUUCUCUAAAUUGCACAAUAGGACAUAUUACAUCAGAUAGGUCCCACCUCAAAAAGAUGAUAGUAACCCUUUAACAGCUUGAGAGAUGUUAAAGUUGUAGUAUAAUGAGUGUUCAGGAUUGCUGAGUUUAGGGUUAGAGUUGGAUUAUAUAUAUAGGAUAGGGGUACAUUAGCUGUUUAGUUUUUAAAGCUGUACCUUCAACGUCUGGGAAGUUUGCAGUAUUUUCAAAGAACACCGACAGUGACAUCACCGAUGGGUUUGGUAACCGGAGGGGGCUUCUACUUACCUGAAGCUGUCCCUCGCAGGCGCCUCCAUCUUCUUCCUGUGGGUCCUCUUCAGUUCCUGGUGCUUUAGUACAACAUUGAGAUCUAUAGAGGAUCCUGCAAGGUCUAUGGAGGAUCCCGUGAGAAUUCCUUGCAUCACUGGUGAUGGCUAGAAUAUUGACACCUCUAGACGGUGGUAGGUCUGCCCAGUGUCUAGAAGUGUCAGGCAUAGGAGAAAUGAUGAGACAAAGACUUUGUCUCAGUAUAUCUCCUGAUUUCAGUGACAUUAUAACACAGUCAAUAUGAGUAUUUUGUAAAUAUUCCAUCUAUAUGAAAUACUAUUUUUUCUGGGAGUGACAGUGCCGCUUUAAAAGGAGUUAAACAUUUGAUGAAGGUAAAGGGUUUAUUUUCAGGUUUAGGCUUUGAGUGCUGGAGUUUGAAGGGCUAUUUGCUUCUUCUUCUUUAUUUACUUCUGUAGACCAGUCAGACUGAUGAUAUUCAAAGCCAAACUUCCCAUUACUCAGAGUCAGUGGUGUAUCCUGGUUUUGUGCUGCCCUAGGCCCUUUUUUUGCAAGUGUUGUAAAAGGUAUGCGAUAAAGGUAGAUUACUGAAAAACAAGGGCGGUGUGGUUUUAAUACAUUAUGCGUAAACUGUGCUGUUUUUCAUCUCCAGACAAACCUUAUGAUCUCAGGACAAAAGACUCUGAGAAAACCUAUUUGAAGCAGGAAAAAAAUACACUAUUUUCAGCGGGUAAAAUUUAAAGUGGUCUAUGUGAAUUUAAAAUUAGCAUUAUUCUAUUUUCCAAGUCACAAGUGAGAAUCUGAAACACUAUAUUAAAAGUAACUUCAGACAAACGGUGAAGUUCUGUGGCAAACCAGGUCCCCAAAUAUUUGGAUGUACACAAUACUUAUAGCGUGACCUCAGAUGAGAAACGUGUUUCUGUGGAGCCCAGCCAAGACAAAUAUAUUAUAUAUAAAAGAUAAUAAACCAAAAUAUCUGGUGCCCCUCUGAAAAUACCCCAAUAUGUUAGACCAACUAAAUACUGCAUUCAUAUUUUCCCAAAUAUCAAGUACCCAAACAAUUAUCACACCUCUACUUAAUCCAUUGCCUAUGUGUUUACUGGAUCUAAUCCUAAAAUUAUAAUAGACUUUUCUAAUUAAUUUAUUCAAUCUUAUUAUUUAUACAUUUAUUUAAUAUUUUCUAUUCUUUUAAUUAUUUUCUGUUUCAGACUUUUGUAUACACACUGGACUGAAUAGCACUUCUGGCUUUUCAGAAAAAAAACAAAUUUUUAUUGCCGUUUAUCAUUCAUAUGCCAGAGGCAAUCUGAAUUGACAUGUGAACAUCCUUUCCUCAUUGUCUUAGAACAGAUAGCGGCUAACUGCUUGAAGUAAAUUAUUAUCGUCAAAUGAAGAUGAAUGAACCUGGUUAAAAUAAAUAUCUGUUUGGAAUAUUCUCAACAGUGUGCUAAAAUUGUAGUUUAUUUUAACUGCGUGCAAUACUCCAAACACACUAGCAAUUCAUGUUUGUUUGAUUUUGAUCAGUUACUCCCAACAGGUCAAUAAGGACAGAAUAAACCAUUCUCCUCCCGAAUUAUGAUGCCAGAUGAAUAGAAAGAUUGCACAGUUGUAGACACACCUUACCGAAGCCUGCUAAUUAACAUAAUAUUGAUUCAAAUACCAAAAAAUAACCACUUUUAUUGCAGAGCUGAAGACAUAUUUUAAACUUGUUUUACUGAGAUCUACGCAUUGCUAACAUGGAUAUUAAGUUCAAAGGUGUGUCUGCGUGGUAUAAAACAAUCAAACUUGUUCUUUCGGAUACGGUUUGGUUCUGCUGUUUGAUGUCAAUUUCUGGACUCAUAUUAUCCCAAACGUGUCAUGCUCAGUUAGCGGAUAACAGAUUGGCAUAGAGAAAAAAAAAAAGAAAGCUAUAAAUCUUCUUGCCAUUAACUGCUGUGCAGAGCUGUGAUGCUAAAGCAGACACACGCGAUAAUUCAGCAUGAUGAGUGGAUUCGACUACAACGUCCUAAAUUCUGGAAGGCAGCAGGGGGUUGCUGAAAGUACUGUGAUCCUGGAUCAGUGCCCGGUGUAUCAUGGCACUCUUGUCUUAUGACAUUUGGCAGCCACAUUACAUACAAAAACGCUAUUUAUUUUUCCAGAUGUGAGUGUAAGUUAUUAAAAUGUUGUUUAUUUUUUAUUACCUAAAACAUUAAAAGCUGAUUUUGGUUCUGUACACAAAUAACCAUGCAAUCUAUGUCAAAGGACAACUGUCACCUUAAUUCUAUUUUUUUAUUAUAAUAAUAUAGCUUUCAUCAAGUUUUGAAAGGAAAUAGUUUUUUUGUUAAAUGAAAUAUUUGAAAAAACCUCAUCCCUACCUUUAGUAUAUGACAGAAUCCUUCAGCCAUAUACAUACACCUCUACAUGCAGUUAGUCCCUCUAGUUUUCCCUGCUUUAUUUCCUGCCCAGUGCAGUGAUAUCGUCAGACCCACUAAAUGUCUGUUUCAAACAGUGUCUGACCCAGGUUUAUGCAUUUGGAUGAAUCAUCUGUUAAAUGUCAUACAUAGGGGUUUGUUUUUCCCUUUUUGCAUAUACUUAAUUAAAAAAAUCUCUUACCUUUCAAUACUUGAUGAAAGGAUUAUUAUAUUAAAAAAUAGUUUAUAGAACAUGCUAUUAUAUUUUUUUAUACAAGAAAAUAAAAACACAUAUUCAGUUAUUGUAAAUCAUAUUAAUGCACAAGUACAAUGUAAAGGCUUUUGUUUAUUAUUGUUAAAGAAAGGCUGCCAAUGUGCUUCGCUGUAAGGAUAUCAAUAAUUCUUGCAGAAGUAUGUUUAGAUGACCUCUUGUAAGUCCAUGCAUUUCUAAAUAUACAAACCUUGCUAGGUCUUAGAUGCAUAUUCAAUGAAAGUGUUAAUGAAAGUGCAUACCCACUGUCUUCAGAGCUGCUCCAGUGCUUACCAAACAGGUCCUUUGCAUAAUUUCCAAGGGCUAUAAAAUAAUCUUUUUGACUUGUUUUAAAUACCUUUUCCACUUAUAUAAAUGACUCAUAAUAUGCCUUAAAUUAUUUGUAAGGUACACGCAGAAGUCCCUUAAACUUUAGUUUUUGUGGCUACUUAUAAUAUUAAAAUGUAUGUAUGAACUAGGAUUAAGUCCAAAAUACAAAUUAAACAUUCACACAGAAUAAACGUAAGCAUCCAAUAUCAGACUGUUCCCACUUGAGAACAUCGCAAUUAAGGGGAGUGUAAAUCUGAAUUGGUAUUCCUGGAUUGGAAUUAACAUCAGGCCAUUCUUACGCUCCCAUCGCUCCGAAACCCAGUGUAUAAUUAUGAAUUCUAAAUGAAUGAAUCAUAAAUAUGUAAGAUCUGCAUUAUAAAACGAAAUAUAAAUGUGACACUGUUUAAGUUUCACUUAGCAGAAAUAAAAAUUAUCUUAUUUUAACAUUGGCCAAUAAAUGCAAUGGACGUGAAACUGAAUUAGAAUGUCAUUCUCUCAUUGACAGAUCAUUUAACGUCUUGGAAGGAUCUGUUUUACACUGCUCAAGACUGCGCAGGGGAAUUACAUGAAGGCUCCUUAUUGCCAGAACAAUUUUUCACCCAAUUUACUUUGAAAUGAUGGCUAACCUCUGGUCUUCCCAUUGAGAGGGACUUAAGCUAUGAUUAAUGAGAAGCAUUUUGCCAUCCCCACUAGAGAAAAGACCCAUCUGUGUCCGACACAGG
rnacentral:lncRNA from 1 species